UUUCAAUAAAAGAAAAAGUAGCAUAUGAUUAUUUUAAGAAAUAAGGUACAGAUUGGAUAUUUUUGGAAAAUUUGCUGCUUUUUAGGCAGAUGAACUGUUAGGUAGGUGUGAGCCAUGUCCUAAGCCCAACUAAAUCCAUCAUUAGAACAACUGUAAAGAAAACAGAGAAGAUAAAGUUAUCAAGUCAUAAAUGUAUACUUGUUUACUGAGCAUAGUUUAACAUUUUAAUUAGCCUACCUGACCCCUGGCAUCCUUGAUUCCCCUUACUUUGUUGCACUUUAAAAAAAAAAGCACUAAUGAUUAUCUAAAACACUAAAUAAUUUACUUAUGUUCAUUGCUUAUUGAGUAUUUGUCCCUUUAUCCCCCAAGUAAGUGGCACAGGUCAGGCAUCUUUCUUUUUUUUUGUUCACCAAUAUAUCUGAAAUGUGUAUUACAGUGCACAUAAUAAAUGCUCAAUAAAUACUUGUUAGUGAAUGUGGGGAAUGACUCACCAUAAGUUCAGUGAUAUUAAGAUUAGUUAAGCCAUGAUCCAGUGAGUAUGUCCAUUUUUGGGAAAGUGAUGCUUUCCUAAAAUAUAAUUUUGUUGUAAGACUUAGGCCUAUUACUCUGCCCCUGGUGAGUUGGACCAGACCACCUGUAAGCCACACAGGGACCUGCCACAAAGAUAAAGGAGACAAUGGAGAGCCUGGAUCCCUAAGGUCUAGAGCAGAGCUGGUGUAAGCUGUUUAUUCCAGGGCCUUCUUGUUCACUGCUGCAUCCUCAACAUCCAGAACAGAGACUGCUGUGUAGUAGAUGCUCAAUAAAUAUUUUUUGAAUGAAGAAAAGCAAAGUUCUUCUAAGCAGUAGGCAGCCUUUCUGUGUAGGAGUAGAAGAAGGAGGAACAAUCCAAAGAGGAAACAGGUCCAGUGAAAAAAGCUUACAAGAACAUGCCAGAUAGGCACAAAACCUUAACCUCUUGGCUCAUCAGGUAUCAGGGAACUUCCAGGUAGUGCAGGACACAAAACCUCCUACCUUUCAUCCACACUGGAAGGCCUCCUUCCUUCUGCUGGCCUGUCUGCUUGUGGGAAGCCUUGAGCACUGUCUUGAGGCUGAGCACGCUGUUGACAGAAAUGAUUCCGUUUAGCAGAAAAUCAGUUCAUUUCUUUGCCAUUCAAUCUAUUUGUUCACUUAAUUACCACUGUCAUGGCUGAGUGAAAUUUUCAUUUAAGGGAUGAAUGAAUUGUAACCUUUUAAGCACCAUCACUUAAAACUAUUCCAACCACUUUUGUUAGAAAAUUUACUAAAACAUAUUGUACAUUUCCCCCAUCUUAAUAAAGUAUUAGGAAUAUAAUCUAAUAUUUUCAUAUUAUCUCAAUAUCAUUUGGGAAAUAUCAUGCUGUUAUACAGUGGUACACUUUGAGUUUACUCCAGGUAGAGUUUUUAUUAUGUGGAAGACCACAUAUUGUAUUUUUUUGAAUUCUCAUGCUUAUUUUUCAUGGUUUUGCUGUCUUCUUUCUCUGUUAGGCUAUUUGUGUUCAUUUUCUGAUGCUACCUACGUGGCUGCCCCAAGAGUCUCCAGUCUCCCAAAAUAAAUUCUCCAUGGUUAUCUGUAGAAAAAUAGAUGGCCGAGUUUAUUAGAUUUGUCUAAAAUACAAAGAAAACUUAAUAUAUAGACUUCAUGAUACCCACAAGUCUCCUGUUUCAUGUCUCCCAUCUCUAGUUCUUCUCAGCAGUAUUCUGGAAAGUUGGGCUCAUCAGACAUGUGGCUUCUGGUUGAAGGAGAAAUGAAGUGUAUCAGUUAAUCCUCAUUGCUGCUAUUAUUGAUCAUGGUUGGAUUUGCUCCAAAAGGUAUGUUACCAUAUAUAGAAUUAAAACCAGUCUCUACUCUGUGGGCAAGCAAUGCAGAUGUUUUGAGAUUAGAGUUUAGAAUCUAGUUCCAAAGACCUGCCAGAAUACAUGUUUAACAAUGAGCAUGAGAGUUUUCCCCAUUGUUAUUCUUAUUAUUUUGUUUAUCAAACAAAGAUAAUUUGGGGGCUUGUUUAGAAACUCUGCAAUAUUUAAGAAAAUAAACACAGAUCUGCAAGUCAAUAACCAAAUAUUUCUCAUGGGAUACUAAGAAGUAUAACUUAUAAUUUGGCUUACUUCUUUUAAUUAAAAUAUUUGUGGUUCUUUAUAGUACAGAACAGUUUUGAAUAAAGCAAUUGUUUUCAUGUUUUAAACGCAGUGGAAGGUUUUACAUUUGGUGUUACUCAAUUGAUAAAGCAAAUUGCUUUGUUAUUAGCUUGAUUUACAUGAAAAUUUAGAUUUAGUUUUAGAUUUGGUAAAUUUUAAUCUGAUACCAUUUUAUAUUGAUGUAUAUCUGAAGGUUUCAUUAAGAUCAUGAGUGUACACAGUUUAACUUCAAGCAUAUAGUCUUAUUAUCUUGUAUUAUUUUAUUAUAAGAAACAGAAGUAUGGGAACUUGAGGCUAGGACUGUUCAGAGCUAAAUCUUAUGAAAUCAAAUAAGUUCUUGUAAUCAUUUUGCAGCCAUUAUUUGUUGUGCUUUUGUGGUAUUUUGUCUCUUUUGAGCUAUCCUCACAGGUUUCCAGGAAUUCAGGAUCUAAGAAACAUUCUACUAAGAACUUGAAAUACCAAGUCAUUUAAUUUUUGGAAAUGUAGAAUGUUUUAUUACUUUUGAAGUUUUGAGGACCAGCAAAAUAGAGAAGUGUAUUGUUACACAAUGUGCUGCGUUAUAAAUGUUUACUUUUAGUGCACAUGAUGUAACUAGAAUGGAAAAAAAAAACCACAGAAAUAAUAAUUGUUGAUAUCAUCUUGCCUUGGAGGUGACGUUGGGUGGGGGAACAGGGAGUGGGAACACAGCAGGAGAGGAGAAAAGAAUCUGUUACCAAUUAUAGUAAAAUUAUUACAGUUAAAAGAGUUGCAUAUAUGAAUAAUAAUAAAACCUUCACCUAGCUUUCCUGAAAGUUUACAAAUUUCUUUCUUUGCUUAGAAGCUUGGAAAAGGAAAAAAACAUUCCUCUUAACCAAUUCCUUUAUUUUUCUCUCUGAUUCUCUUCAUCUUUCAUUUUGGUCUCCAGAGAAUACUGUUGAGCUAUUUUGAAAUCAUUUCUCUUCUCCACUUCGUUGCACUUUGCCCUCUGGGAUCGUUUCCCCAGCUCACUCUUCUUCCUUUGUCCUCCUGCUCUCUUUAACCCCUACCUCUCUUCCUAUAGCCAAGAAAGGAGCUUGUUAACCAUGACUUUUUCUUGUAGGAACCAACUCAAAAAUACCUUUGGUACAGACGUUUACAGGCACCCUACCUCAGUCUGAUUCCAGAAAAACAAGCACCGAGAAAUACAGGAAAACAUGUAGCUAUUAAUAAAUUUCACAGAUAGGCAGAAGUUGCCAAAGGAAAAUGGGAGAACAACAAGGACUGUUCAUUGGACUUCCAGGAAUGGAAAUUAUUGGGAGUGUACUCUUUUCAAAAUAAACUUUGAUGUGGGGCUGACCACCUUGUCAGUUACUCCCAUCCAGUGUUGAGGUGUGGCAAACAAGGGCAAGGAUAUUUUUUGGUUUUCAACGUCAGGCUGCUAAUUGUAUAAUUGGAUUAACUCAGCCCGCAGAGAAUUAGAGACUACCAGUCGCUUGUUAGCCUGGGUCCCAAGGUGAAAGCAGCGCAAACGUCUGUGGAGGAUGUCCAGCUGAAAUGGAAAGAAGAAAGAAAAGAGGAGAGAGAAAAAAUACAGAAAUGUUAGCCAAAGGAGUUAUAGUUAGGAGAAAACCAUAAUCUUACUAAUC